rnacentral:rRNA from 1 species
GACGAACGCUGGCGGCGUGCCUAAUACAUGCCAGUCGAACGAGAGCGACCGGUGCUUGCACUGGUCAAUCUAGUGGCGAACGGGUGAGUAACACGUGGGUAACCUGCCCAUCAGAGGGGGAUAACAUCCGGAAACGGAUGCUAAAACCGCAUAGGUCUUCGAACCGCAUGGUUUGAAGAGGAAAAGAGGCGCAAGCUUCUGCUGAUGGAUGGACCCGCGGUGCAUUAGCUAGUUGGUGAGGUAACGGCUCACCAAGGCCGGGAUGCAUAGCCGAACUGAGGGGGUGAUCGGCCACAUUGGGACUGAGCCACGGCCCAAACUCCUACGGGAGGAAGCAGUAGGGAAUCUUCAGCAAUGGACGCAAGUCUGACGGAGCAACGCCGCGUGAGUGAAGAAGGUUUUAGGAUCGUAAAACUCUGUUGUUAGAGAAGAACAAGUGCUAGAGUAACUGUUAGCGCCUUGACGGUAUCUAACCAGAAAGCCACGGCUAACUACGUG